rnacentral:rRNA from 1 species
GACGAACGCUGGCGGCGUGCCUAAUACAUGCAAGUAGAACGCUGAAGCUUGGUGCUUGCACCGAGCGGAUGAGUUGCGAACGGGUGAGUAACGCGUAGGUAACCUGCCUGGUAGCGGGGGAUAACUAUUGGAAACGAUAGCUAAUACCGCAUAAGAGUAGAUGUUGCAUGACAUUUGCUUAAAAGGUGCAAUUGCAUCACUACCAGAUGGACCCGCGUUGUAUUAGCUAGUUGGUGAGGUAACGGCUCACCAAGGCAACGAUACAUAGCCGACCUGAGAGGGUGAUCGGCCACAAUGGGACUGAGACACGGCCCAGACUCCUACGGGAGGCAGCAGUAGGGAAUCUUCGGCAAUGGACGGAAGUCUGACCGAGCAACGCCGCGUGAGUGAAGAAGGUUUUCGGAUCGUAAAGCUCUGUUGUAAGAGGAGAACGAGUGUGAGAGUGGAAAGUUCACACUGUGACGGUAUCUUACCAGAAAGGGACGGCUAACUACGUG